rnacentral:lncRNA from 1 species
UCCCAUCUCCUAAUUCUCUCUCAACUUCUCUCAGAAACCCUAACCUCUACCUUCAAUCACCACCCAAAAUCGACAAAAUCCAUGGCAUCCAAAGCUAUUGAUGGCCUGUACCUACCCCAUGUGACUCCUACACGCCUUAUUACCAUGGUUUCAAGGUCAGGCCUUGAAGAAGCUUGGCCCAAACCUUGUUUGAUUCGAGUCCUUUGGCUGCCUCCGACCUUGCUCCGGCAAGCCAUGGCUGUUCAAGCCUGGUCUUGACGUCUUCUGCUUAGAUUAGGACUUUCCAAGCCUUUCU